rnacentral:lncRNA from 1 species
CCUUUACUCCGCCCCCUUCGCCCUUCGCCCCGCCUCUCCGCCCUUAACCACGCCCCUUCGCCCUUCGCCCCGCCCACCUCGCCCUUAACCCUGCCCCCUCCGCCCUUAACCCCGCCCCUUUCCCCCUUAACCCCGCCCCCAGGUGCCCGGUGCUAUUGGUGGUCGGCGACAACUCCCCCCACGAGGACGCGGUGGUGAGACCAAUAGCGGACGGGGAUGGGGGGCGGUGGGGCGGGGCUUCGUGACGUCACGCUCCCAUAUAUGGGCAAAGUGGGCGGGGCUUAAUGUGACGUCAUUUCCAGGUGGAGUGCAACGCCAAGCUGGAUCCCACCCAGACCUCCUUCUUAAAGAUGGCGGACGGCGGCGGCCAACCACAACUGCGCCAGCCGGCCAAGCUGACCGAAGCCUUUAA